AGUGGAUGGGGAGCAACCUAUGUUGUGCGUGUGUAAAGGUAGUGCCAAGAAAAGCGAUGAUCAUGUUGAAAAUCAAUUCCCGGUACCCGAAACCGACACAGGUGGGCAAGUAGAGAAUACUAAGGGGCGCGAGGUAACUCUCUCCAAGGAACUCGGCAAAAUGACCCCGUAACUUAGGGAGAAGGGGUGCCACCGAGAGGUGGUCGCAGUGAAGAGGCCCAGGCGACUGUUUAGCAAAAACAUAGGUCUCUGCAAACUCGAAAGAGGAGGUAUAGGGGCUGACGCCUGCCCAGUGCCGGAAGGUUAAAGAAGUUGGUCAGUUUUAGGAUGAAGCUAGCGACUGAAGCCCCGGUGAACGGCGGCCGUAACUAUAACGGUCCUAAGGUAGCGAAAUUCCUUGUCGGGUAAGUUCCGACCCGCACGAAAGGCGUAACGAUCUGGGCGCUGUCUCGGAGAGAGGCUCGGCGAAAUAGGAUUGUCUGUGAAGAUACGGACUACCUGCAUUUGGACAGAAAGACCCUAUGAAGCUUUACUAUAGCUUGGAAUUGUGUUCGGGCUUCCUGUGCGCAGGAUAGGUGGGAGGCGUAGAAGGUAUUCUUGUGGGGAUACUGGAGCCAACGGUGAGAUACCACUCUCAGGAGGCUAGAAUUCUAACUUAAUUAAGGACAGUUUCAGGUGGGUAGUUUGACUGGGGCGGUCGCCUCCAAAAAGGUAACGGAGGCGUACAAAGGUUCCCUCAGACUGGUUGGAAAUCAGUCGAAGAGUGCAAAGGCAGAAGGGAGCUUGACUGCGAGAAGUACAGUUCGAGCAGGGUGGAAACACGGUCUUAGUGAUCCGACGGUGCUGUGUGGAAGGGCCGUCGCUCAACGGAUAAAAGUUACUCUAGGAUAACAGGCUGAUCUCCCCCAAGAGUUCACAUCGACGGGGAGGUUUGGCACCUCGAUGUCGGCUCAUCGCAACCUGGGGCGGAAGUACGUCCCAAGGGUUGGGCUGUUCGCCCAUUAAAGCGGUACGUGAGCUGGGUUCAGAACGUCGUGAGACAGUUCGGUCCAUAUCCGAUGUAGGCGUGAGAAUAUUGAGAGGAGCCUUCCUUAGUACGAGAGGACCGGGAAGGACGCACCGCUGGUGUACCUGUUAUGAUGCCAAUUGUAAACGCAGGGUAGCCAAGUGCGGAGAGGAUAACCGCUGAAAGCAUCUAAGUGGGAAGCCCACCUCAAGAUGAGUAUUCUGGUGUAAGGUCACGGGAAGACGACCCGUAAAUAGGCACGAGGUGGAAGUGCAGAGAUGUAUGAAGCCGAAGUGUACUAAUAGACCGUCGGCUUGAC
rnacentral:rRNA from 1 species